rnacentral:rRNA from 1 species
AGAAGAUCCAUCAAAGGCUGGAUGGCCAAUUAUGAGGCUGAGCAAAACAGACAGAAACAUGCCCUGGUUGCUGAAUAUAACUGUUUAGAUAUUAUCUCUGAGACUAACCCUCCUUCCCCUAACACUAACCGCAGAAUUAAAAAAAUUGCAGGUGAUUUGGAGGAGAUCUGGAGAAAGGAAGUAAUCAAGGCCAGACAGAGAUCCAGAGAUAGGGACAUCCUUGAAGGAGAUUUGAAUGCUGGCUACUUCAAAGCAAUAGCUAACCAGAAGAGGAGGAGAAAGCAGAUCUUGGUGCUAGAAGGAGAAGGAGGUAAUGUCACUAGCCAUGAUGAUAUUAUGAAAGUUGAUGUAGAUUACUACAAAAAGCUUUUUGGUUUUCAAGACAAAAUCAACAUCAACCUUAAAGAUGACUUUUGGGAGGAUGGAGAGAAAGUUACUGAUGCGCGUAACAAAACCUUAGAUGCCCCUUUCUCUGAGAAAGAGAUUAAAGAGGCUGUCUUUGGCUCUUAUGCAAAAGGUGCCCCCGGGCCUGAUGGCUUCCCUUUUCUAUUUUACCAGCAAUUUUGGGACCUCAUCAAGGGGGACUUAUUUGCGUUA